rnacentral:rRNA from 1 species
CGGGAAUUUUGGGCAAUGGGCGAAAGCCUGACCCAGCAACGCCGCGUUAGGGAUGAAGUAUUUCGGUAUGUAAACCUCGAAAGAAUGGGAAGAAUAAAUGACGGUACCCUUUAUAAGCUCCGGCUAACUACGUGCAAGCAGCCGCGGUAAUCCGUAGGGAGCAAGCGUUGUUCGGAUUUACUGGGCGUAAAGGGCGCGUAGGCGGCGCGUUAAGUCACUUGUGAAAUCUCUGAGCUUAACUCAGAACGGCCAAGUGAUACUGCUGUGCUUGAGUGCGGAAGAGGCAACCGGAAUUCUUGGUGUAGCGGUGAAAUGCGUAGAUAUCAAGAGGAACACCUGAGGCGAAGGCGGGUUGCUGGGCCGACACUGACGCUGAUGCGCGAAAGCCAGGGGAGCAAACG